rnacentral:rRNA from 1 species
CGCGAAGAACCUUACCAGGCCUUGACAUCCCGGGCAAAGGCGUAGAGAUACGCUGGAGGUUAUCCCGGUGACAGGUGGUGCAUGGUUGUCGUCAGCUCGUGUCGUGAGAUGUUGGGUUAAGUCCCGCAACGAGCGCAACCCUUGUGAUAUGUUACUACCAGUAAGAUGAGGACUCAUAUCAGACUGCCGGUGACAAACCGGAGGAAGGUGGGGAUGACGUCAAAUCAUCAUGCCCCUUAUGGCCUGGGCUACACACGUACUACAAUGGCGCAUACAAAGAGCAGCGAACCCGCGAGGGCAAGCGAAUCUCGUAAAGUGCGUCUCAGUUCGGAUUGAAGUCUGCAACCCGACUUCAUGAAGUUGGAAUCGCUAGUAAUCGCGAAUCAGCAUGUCGCGGUGAAUACGUUCUCGGGCCUUGUACGUCGACGCGGCCG